GAUGAACGCUAGCGGCAGGCCUAACACAUGCAAGUCGAGGGGCAGCACGUCUUCGGAUGGUGGCGACCGGCGCACGGGUGCGUAACGCGUAUGCAACCUACCUCUUACAGUGGGAUAGCCCAGAGAAAUUUGGAUUAAUACCGCAUAGUAUACAGAUUCAGCAUUGGGACUGUAUUAAACAUUUAUGGGUAAGAGAUGGGCAUGCGUUCUAUUAGUUAGUUGGAGUGGUAACGGCACCCCAAGACAGCGAUAGAUAGGGGCCCUGAGAGGGGGAUCCCCCACACUGGUACUGAGACACGGACCAGACUCCUACGGGAGGCAGCAGUGAGGAAUAUUGGACAAUGGGCGAGAGCCUGAUCCAGCCAUGCCGCGUGCAGGAAGACGGCCCUAUGGGUUGUAAAGCUCUUUUACCAGGGAUGAUAAUGACAGUACCUGGAGAAUAAGCUCCGGCUAACUCCGUGCCAGCAGCCGCGGU
rnacentral:rRNA from 1 species